UACGUAGGAGGCAAGCGUUAUCCGGAUUUAUUGGGCGUAAAGAGCGCGUAGGCGGCCUAUUAAGUCGGUUGUGAAAUCUCCCGGCUUAACUGGGAGAGGUCAGCCGAAACUGGUAGGCUUGAGGACAGCAGAGGGAGGUGGAAUUCCCGGUGUAGUGGUGAAAUGCGUAGAUAUCGGGAGGAACACCAGUGGCGAAGGCGGCCUCCUGGGCUGUUCCUGACGCUGAGGCGCGAAAGCGUGGGGAGCAAACAGG
rnacentral:rRNA from 1 species